GUGGGGAAUUUUGGACAAUGGGCGCAAGCCUGAUCCAGCCAUGCCGCGUGCAGGAUGAAGGCCUUCGGGUUGUAAACUGCUUUUGUACGGAACGAAAAGACUCUGGUUAAUACCUGGGGUCCAUGACGGUACCGUAAGAAUAAGCACCGGCUAACUACGUGCCAGCAGCCGCGGUAAUACGUAGGGUGCGAGCGUUAAUCGGAAUUACUGGGCGUAAAGCGUGCGCAGGCGGUUAUGUAAGACAGAUGUGAAAUCCCCGGGCUCAACCUGGGAACUGCAUUUGUGACUGCAUAGCUAGAGUACGGCAGAGGGGGAUGGAAUUCCGCGUGUAGCAGUGAAAUGCGUAGAUAUGCGGAGGAACACCGAUGGCGAAGGCAAUCCCCUGGGCCUGUACUGACGCUCAUGCACGAAAGCGUGGGGAGCAAACAGGAUUAGAAACCCCAGUAGUCC
rnacentral:rRNA from 1 species